ACCGCCCCGCCCGACCCCACAGAACCUCGCGGGCCCUACACUCCCCCUGCCGAGGUUGAAGUCCCCAGCGGUUGGAAGAUCGGCCAAUUGUAGUGUAUUUAUCAGAAAAGUGACUCAUCCUUGAUCCUCAUUUCCCGGUCUGUCGCCUUUGUAGAAACCCCGAGGAUGGCAACCUUCAACCUGGAGAUCCCUGAAGCCUUGACCAGGGAGGUUUACAGUGAAGCGUUCCUAUUAGCGACUACAGCUAUCUAACCUCAGUUCCUCCUGCUGCAGUUUCGGUCCCUUUCUCCUCCUCCUCCAGCAACCACGCCCUCCAUGAAUCAGCUUCUUGCACCAGCAGAUGAGCCCUUUAAAGGGAUUGCAUCAGGCAAGUGACUCACUGGGGCCCUCUAAGAGCCUGGCUUCCCUCCCUUGGCAUGCAGAAGCAGCUAGAAGGGCUCAGUGGCAGCAGCACCAGCGGCCGUAGCCCCACUCCCUUGUCCCAGAGGUGUGAGUCAGGGUGUUUGCUGCUUAUGAUGUCUAACUCUUGGCUGUCUUUCCAGCUGUCCCCUGGGUCACUCUAUAUCCAUGUGUGGGCACACGUGUCUAAGCUUGUGUGCACUGCUGGGUUUUCCUAGGGUGUGUGGCCACUUGUGUGUAUGUGCAUUUGUCAUCUCCACAUAGGCAGUGCCAGGACACAAGAGCUGAUAUGAGUGAAGUCUGGCUGCCUCUACCUGUGUCCUUUGUCUCUGAAUGCCUGGUGCCCACUGAGCUGCUGAUAGGGCUGACUAACAAGAGUAAUCAGGACAGCUCCCACCGUUGUGCCACACUCUGCAUGGAGCACUUGAGACAGUAUUAGGUAGGAGGCUGUUUACAGCUGAGGAAGCCAGUGCUCAGAGAAGGAAAUUAAUGUGCCCAAACACACACAGCUAAUAAUGGCAGGGCUAGGAUUCAAAUCAAGUCUGAUGGAUUCCAAAAAACUUGGCUUUGAAUCCCUGCUGCAUCACUUACAAGCUGGGUGACUAUGUGCAAAUUGCCCAAUCUUCCCCUUCUGUCCAAACAGGGAUAACGCUUGGGGGAUCACUGUGAGGACUCGGAGUUAUAGAAACAGCUUUUUGCAAGACCCAGCGAGCACUCAUACUCAUCUCAGUUGAAGGGCUUCAAUGAGGUGGGUGACCAAAAGACAGGCAUAAAGAAGGCCCCAGCCCAGCAAGCUCCACUCUCUGACAAAACAAAAAGCCUAGGGAUUCCGGAAGCCCUGACUCUGACAAAAAUGAGUUCUGGGUUUUCCAGAGCUCUAAUUAUCAGCUAGAUGAAUCACUCUGCGCUGACACCACCAUUCCUACCCCCAGGAGACUCUCAGCUGAUUGAAAAUCCAGGAUUUUAACAAAGGAGAGGAGGAGGAACAGAAAGCUAGGAGGAGAAGAAGUAAUGAAUAGAAACCAAAGGUGCCAGCCAGAGGAAAUGAGAAACUGUCAUCAGGACACUACCAUGAGGAGAACGCUGGGACACACACACACACACACACACACACUCACACUCACGCUGACAUACUCUUGCUGGCUCUCCAACUCUAGGCUUACGGCAGACGGUGCUGCCAUAACAAAGUGACGCCUGUCACAACAGCAUGAGAUGGUGGCUUGACAAGGUAUAGGCAGAUCUGCCUAUCACAGAAGGAGGGAAAGAGACCUUCAACCCCCAGGGGCUUCCUCAGGCUUCUGAACCCUCGUCUCCAUUACUGGUUGGCUCUGGCUUCUCUUUGUCACCAAAUCGCAAGGCCUAAAUCUGGCAAAUUUUGAGUGUCAGACCUACACCCUGUGGCUAGGUACCACCACUGUGGUGAACAAAGGCACCUCUUAUACUCUGUCAUCAGUAUGAUGCCAAGAGUGCUGGGAAACAGAAUAGCACAGCAGUUAAGAUCAUUGAGUUGGAGUCACACAGACCUGAGUUCAAAUCCCCAUUCUGUUGUUCACCUUGAGCAGGCCACAUAACUUCCUUGAGCCGGUUUGCUCAAAUGUAAAAUGGUGCUAUUAAUAUAUGGGGUUUUUAUAAUGAUAUAAUAAGAUUACUUUCAGGGCUGGGCGCAGUGGCUCACUCCUGUAAUCCCAGCACUUUGGGAGGCCGAGGUGGGUGGAUUGUCUGAGGUCAGGAGUUCGAGACCAGCCUGGCUAACAUGGCAAAACCCCGUCUCUACUGAAAAUACAAAAAUUAGCUGGACGUGGUGGCUGGUGCCUGUAAUCCCAGCUACUUGAGAGGCUGAGCAGGGGGAAUCACUUGAACCUGGGAGGCAGAGGUCGCAGUGAGCCAAGAUCGCACCAUUGCACUCCAGCUCAGGCAACAAGAGUGAAACCCCAUGUCAAAAAAAAAAAAAAAAGGAUUAUUUUCAUUCCACAAGAUUGAUGGAGUGCCCACUAUGUGCAGAGCACUGAGCUAGAUGCUGGAGAUUCGGCAUAACCAGACAACAGCUCUGCCCUUGUGGAGCAUCAGAGCACCCAGCACAGGGCAAGUAGUAAAAUUCAACAAAGAGUAGCUAUUUUUCAUUUAUUUUAUUUUAGAGACGGGGUCUUGCUGUUGCCUAGGCUGGAGUGCAGUGGCACAAUCACAGCUCACUGCACCCUCAAACUCCCAGGCUCAAGAGAUCCUCCCACCUCAGCCUCCUGAGUAGCUGGGACUUACAGGUGUGUCCCACCAUAUCCUGCUAAUUUUUAAAAAAAUUUUUAUAGAGACAGGGUCUCACUGUGUUGCCAGGGCUGGUCUUGAACUCCUGGGCUCAAGUGAUCCUCCCACCUCAGCCUCCCAAAGUGCUGGGAUUAUAGGUGUGAACCACUGCACCUGGCCAGUAGCUAUUUUUCAUGACCAUUAUGGUGCCCAUCUUGGCACUCUGCCUCUAACUUAGCCAUGGGACCUGGGGAGAGCCCCUUUCCCUCUCUGAGCCUCAGUUUCCUCAGCUGUAAAAUGACAGAGUUGGACUGGGUCAGUAGCAGCAGUUCCCAACUUUCCCACCUUCAAAGCCUUUUUUAGUCUUUUUCCCUCUGCCUCCACACUAUCCAGAAUCUGGUGGGACAGUAACACUUUGCAUUGUUUUUCAUCUUUUCCUUGGUGUUCUCCCUCCUUCUCUUACACAGAUAAGUUACUCUGUAUUCAUUACUUCGGGAAACAAAUGAUACAACAGAAUGCAGGGCCUAUUUUUAGCUUCUGAAUUCCAAAAGCUUAGCUUUCAGGGAGGAAUGGACAGAAUUUCUGUGCAGACACACAUUUAGAAAACUAUAACGGGGAUCUGGGAGUCUGAGAUUGAGGAGGGGGGUCCCUGAGAAGAGAGAAGCUUCUCCUCAGUCUUGUAACUGGGAAUAUCAUCUGGGUCCAAGGGAUUGAGAAGCAGAGAGGAGCUGUGCUCCUUUUCCUGGGUGGGGCACCAGGGAAGUCACAAAACCCUCUGGAGAAAUGGCUGCAUGCUGCAUUUUGGACAAACAGGGCCUAACUCACCUAAGACUCAAGAAUUUCCUAGGCCUAACAUGGCCUGGGGAAAGCAGAAAAACAAAACAAAACAAAACAAAACUCUGCACACCUGAGAGGGGUAUGGGUUACACUUGGAGGGGUCUUUUGGUGGGGGGAUGGGGAGCAACUCAGCAGCAACCUUCAUGGGCUGAUGACAAAAGGUCACAACCAGAUGAGAACAUCUCAGUGGAUGCUAGUGUGACUGGAUGACCAAAUCAGACUAUGCUUCCCAUGCUUUGGCACCUUGAAAGGAAGAGCCCUAGAAUUCCAACAGAAUGCCAAGGAAAAUGGGGGAACUGUGAAUUGACCGCAAUUAACUUUCUGCCACUCUGGCUGAGUAGGGCAAAAUACAGGAAUUCAAGUGAGUUAAAGAAAAUUCAAGUUCUGUUUCUUGCACACCAGAAACUGGAACCAGCUACACUCUGUCCACAGGCCUUGUGUCAUAUGCCCCACCCCCUCCCAUUUCUCCACUCUCAUCUGCCUCCCUCUCCCCCAAUAGCCACAGUGUUACUAUUAUUGUCCCAAAUCCCCAAGCUUUCCCAUCCCAGGACCUUUGCACAGGCAGUUUCCUCUGCCUUGUCCUGGCUUUUUAAAUGACAGGCUUCUUCUCAGUUUAACUACUUUCCUGCUGGGUGGGGUGGCUCAAGCCCUUAAUCCCAGUGACUGGGGCCAAGGCAGGAGGAUUGCUUGAGGCCAGAAGUUUGAGACCAGCCUGGACAACAUAGUGAUACCCUGUCUCUUAGGGAAAAAAAAAAAAGUUACGAAAUUAAGACACCACAGGUGUGUGGUGGCAUGCACCUGUAGUUCCAGCUACUUGGAAGGCUGAGGCUUGAGCCCAGGAGUUCAAAGCUGCAGUGAGCCAUGAUCGCACCACUGCUCUCUUGCCUGGGCAACAGAGCAAGACUCCCUGUCUAAAAAAAAAAGAUUUCACUUCCUCAGACUACAUUUUCCAAAAUAAAACUACCUGUUAUUGUCUCUCAAAA